rnacentral:lncRNA from 1 species
UGUGAUUGGAAGGAAUUAACAGACUGACUGAUUGUUGGAUGAUGAAAUUUGGUGCAGCCCCUUUAAAAGGAAAUAUACUUGAUUCUUCAGAGGGCAGAAUCCGGACUACUGAGAGUGAAUAUCUGCAUAUUACUCAUGACAAAAAGAUUUCAUAUCUGCAAAAUGCUUAAUCAAAUGACAAGUGAGAAGUGGGACAAAUUCAC